CCCAGACUCCUACGGGAGGCAGCAGUGGGGAAUAUUGGGCAAUGGACGCAAGUCUGACCCAGCAACGCCGCGUGAAGGAAGAAGGCUUUCGGGUUGUAAACUUCUUUUAAGGGGGAAGAGCAGAAGACGGUGCCCCUUGAAUAAGCCACGGCUAACUACGUGCCAGCAGCCGCGGUAAUACGUAGGGGGCAAGCGUUGACCGGAUUUACUGGGUGUAAAGGGCGUGCAGCGGGAGAUAUAAGUCAGAUGUGAAAUCCACGGGCUCAAACCGUGAACUGCCUUUGAAACUGUUGCCCUUGAGUGUCGGAGAGGUAAUCGGAAUUCCUGGUGUAGCGGUGAAAUGCGUAGAUAUAA
rnacentral:rRNA from 1 species